CAAGGGCUUUCACAUCCUUCUGGAAUGGUGGGGCCCAGCACAGCACACAGUGCUCCAAGUGAUGAUAUUUACCAGUUUACUAGAACUUUUUUAUGAAGACAAAAAGACAUGGUCUCUCUUUGCAGUAAGGGUGAAAGGACACAGGAUGUUCAAGUGCCUUCUCCAAACUUUUCUUAAUUUGUAGAGAGAGAAAACCUCUGACCAGAAAGGGCUGUGAAUGAUCUAUGUCUAGACAGUGGAUAGACUGUGACUUUAGAGGGGGAUGAAUUGGGCAGAAAUGUGCCUUUAACCAUGACUCACCUUACAGGCUAUUGCUUCCUAAGAGCAGAGCAACAGAGAAGAGAGGAUGAAAGCAAGACCCAGCAUGGCUUUCCCUGUCACAGGCUUAUAGAAUUUGAUUGUGGUCUGGGGAUGACACUGACAGUUCUUAAAAAAAGCCCAUUUCAUGUUCUUAAGACAAUUUCAGUUGGCAUUUUGCAACCAACAAUGUGACCUGCUCUGCUUCUUACUUUAUUGCUUAAUAUUUCCCACCAGAAAGAAAACUCUUCCUCUAAAGUUUCUUGUGCCCUAGUUCACAUCAGUUGUUUGAGAAAAUGAAUGCCACAACUGAAAGAACUGUUUUGUUUAGGGCUGGUUUUUUUUCUACCCAGUCAAAUCCUAUUCAGGUCUGGCUGAACUAUCUGAAGUAUUAAAUUGCCAGAAUUUUGUCUGAGAAGAAAGAAAAGGCAAUGUGCUAAAAUAGCUGCAUGUAUGAACUCAGCUGGGCUCACACUGCUCCUGCCAGGGACAGCUGCUGCUUCACUAAGAACUUCUGAGACUGCCGGAGGGCAGGAGAAGAAAGAACGGGGCUAAAGUCCAGCCCUGCACAGAUCCAUCACUACCACUGAACUUGUGGGGCUCCAAGGAAAGCAUUACAUCUGGCAUUCAGAUGGUCAAGGAAUAAAACCUCUCCUUUGAAACUUACAAAACACUUCUGAUUUAAUCAGUCACCAUGAGCAAGAAUGCCUGUAGUGCACGUGGGAAGAGCAAAAAUGAAGCACCACACUCACAGGCCUGAUCCUGAUAGGGGACUUCAUUAACCUGCACACCUCCUGGAAAAAACGGCACAGCAAACUACUAGCAGUCCAGGAAACUAUUGGAGCUCGUUGAAGACAAAUUUCCUCAUACAGGUGAUGGAGACCCUGACCAGAGAGGCCCUGCUGGACCUGUUGCUUACUAAUGUGGAAGAAUUUAUUGGUGAGAUCAUGACUGGAGGUAGCCUGGGCUGCAGUGAUCAUGUCCUGGUGGAAUUCUCAAUCUUCAGGGGUACAGGAUGGAAAAAAGUAGCCAGUACCCUAAACCUCAGAAACAUCUAAUUUGACUGUGUAGGGUCCUAAUGACUGAGAUCCCUAGGGAAACUUCCCUCAGAGGCAAACAAGCAAACAAGGGCUGGAAGAUACUUAAAGUCAGUUUUCUUAGGGUGUAAAUGCUCUCAAUCCCAAUGUGCAAGAAGCUGGGCAGGGGAGGCAGGAGGUCAGCUUGGCAAAUUCAAAACCCCUUAGCCAUACUAGAACACAAAACUAAAAUGCAUAGGCAGUACAGGCAGGGACACACAUCCUGGGUAGGUUAUAGGGGUAUGGCUUGAAAAAGCAGAGAAGGGAUCAGGAAAGCCAAGAAACAACUGGAGCUGAACUCAGAUAUGGAUGUGAGAAAUAACCUUCAGGUACAUAGGACAGCAAAGGAAGAUGAAAGAAACUGUACCUCCCCUCAUGUGCAAAAUGAGAGACCUGGCUAUAGCCGACAUGGAGAAGGCUGAAGAACUCAACAAAUUUUUUGACUCAGUCUUCCCCAGCAAGUGCUCUAGCCACACUGCAGCACACAGCCAAAUUCACAGAAUCCAAUGACAAGGACUUGAAGAAUGCAAGAAUCAUAUGAGAAGAUCAGGUUCAAGAUCAUCUAAGGAACCCGAACGUGCACAGAUCCAUGGGACCUGAGGAGAUACAUCUGCACCUCCUGAGGGAACUGACAAAGUUACCAAGACAUUCUCCAUCAUAUUGGAAAGGGAAAUAUACCCCCCCAUUUUUAAAAAGGCCAGUCAGUCUCACAUCUGUGCCCUACAAGAUCAUGGAGCAUAUCCUUUUGGAAACUAUGUUAAAGCAUGUGGAGAACAGAGAGGUGACUGGUGACAGCCAACAUGACUUCACUAUAAGCAAAAUUGUGCCUGACAAAUGUGCUGACCUUCUAUAAUGGAGUUACAGCGUUGGCAGAUAAAGGAAAAGCAACUGACAUCAUCUUCCUUGUGCAGAGCUUCUGAUACUGUCCCACAUAGCACCCUUAUCUCUAAAUUGGAGAGGCUUGGAUUUGACAGGUGUGAAUAGGGAAUAAGUGAAUAAGGAAUUGGCUGGUUGGUCACACUGAAAGAGUUUCUGUCAAUGGCCCUAUGUCCAGGUAGAGACCAGUGAUGAGUAGGUCCAUCAGGGGCUGGUACUGCGAUCACUACUAUUUACAUCUUGGUUGGCAACAUGGAUAGUGGUAUUGAGUGUACCCUGAGCAAGUUUGCUGAUGACACCAAGCUAUGUACUUGUAAUUUUUUUAUGCUGAAUCAGGAGCAUAACUUAUUAGUGACUAAAUAAAUGUCAAGAUUUUUUCUUGUGAUUUCUAGAGAUUUUAUUUCAGAAAUGAAGAGAGAAAGAGUGAGAUAUUUAUAAAACCCCCAACUUUCACUUUUAGCUUCAUUAAAGUAAUUAUCAGUGGUCUGUAACUUUGCUUGGGAUUAUUUUUUUUGUAUCUUACAUGUCCUGGCUAAUGCUAACUGUGUAAUGCAAUAGUGAUGCUGAGAUGCUUCCAGUGUGCAGCUGUUUAUAUGAUUAGAAAAAACCUCAGUUGCCUAAAGCUGAUUAAAAAAGAAGUUUACAUCCUGAGUUCCAAUUAACAGUAUUGCCAGAAAAUUAAAAGCCAUCUGGUCUGCAAGGCCUGACUGGAAUUCUUACAUUUGAAUUGCCUUAUCAUGCUGCACAAAUUAAUUUUUCAUUUCUUUCAAUUCCUUCCUGGAGAAAAUUAAAAUAAUAAGAAAAAAGAAAGCUUGCCAUCUAUUUCAGAAGCCUUGUUUCAGCAGACACUGAAACAGCUUACCCUGAAUUACAAAAGUGUCAUUCUGUUUUCUUAAAGAAUAUAGUUACUUUCAUGCCUAUGCAGAAAUGAGACAGAUCUCCAUGUCUGUGUUAGUAGCAAACAUAUACUUAGAACACAUAUUUCCAGCAAAAGUAACAAAUGAAAAGAUAUUAAAGUUUUAGGAUUU